CCGUGAAAAGAAAACGGAUAUCACUAGCUCGUGAACUCUGUACUUGAUUGAGCCUGAUGUUCAAGAUGGUCCUUGGUUCGAUUUAGAUUGCUGCUCAUGUCGGUGGAAAGAGAACGAUAACAGUUAUUGUCACAUAGAACUGGAUGCCAAGUUGAAGAUCCGACUGCGCAAUGCCGAAACUGGAUGCCAAGCUAUAGUUCCAUUCAUGGAAUUCUUCCUGCCAGUAUUCCUUAAAUUGUUCCCUAACAUGUUACCAUCAACCUUCAAGGACAAGAUUAAAGAGCUGGAGGAAUUGAAAAGAAAGCUAAAUGCCAGAAUAGAAUAUGCAAAAUUUCUUCAAGACACGGUAAAAGAAAUGGCAAAGGAAAUCAAAAACCUCACGAAGUGGAGAAAUUAAGCAGACAGCAGAAGAUCUUGAUGAAUUUAUGAACAAGGUUAGAACAGGCGAGCGUGUUGCUAAUAACGAGAUUUUAGGCUUUGCCAAGCUAUUCAGUGAUGAACUUACGUUAGACAACAUUAGCAGGUUGAAUUUUUUUAUGAGCAUAAGUUAUUUG